rnacentral:rRNA from 1 species
UACGUAGGGAGCAAGCGUUGUCCGGAAUCAUUGGGCGUAAAGCGCGCGUAGGCGGCUCGAUCAGUCUGUUGUGAAAGUCAAAGGCUCAACCUUUGAAUGCCGAAUGGAUACUGUCGAGCUAGAGUCCGGAAGAGGCGAGUGGAAUUCCUGGUGUAGCGGUGGAAUGCGCAGAUAUCAGGAGGAACACCAACGGCGAAGGCAGCUCGCUGGGACGGUACUGACGCUAAGGCGCGAAAGCGUGGGGAGCGAACGAGG